UACGUAGGGUGCGAGCGUUCAUCGGAAUUACUGGGCGUAAAGCGUGCGCAGGCGGCGCGUUAAGACAGGUGUGAAAGCCCCGAGCUUAACUUGGGAAUUGCGCUUGUGACUGGCGUGCUGGAGUGUGGCAGAGGGAGGUGGAAUUCCACGUGUAGCAGUGAAAUGCGUAGAGAUGUGGAGGAACACCGAUGGCGAAGGCAGCCUCCUGGGCCAGCACUGACGCUCAUGCACGAAAGCGUGGGGAGCAAACAGG
rnacentral:rRNA from 1 species